AUUUGCCUGGAUUCAGUCUUAACUUGCAUUUCUACUUGUUUCUGUUGUUUUCUUAUUUAUGCUGCGUGUACAGAAAAUCUUCUGAAGGUGACAUUAUUUCAAAUGUACACAUCUUAUCCUAUUCAGUCAUUAUUUUGCAUUUCUGCAUAUGUCUGUUGUUUCCUUAUUUGUGCUACAUGUGCGGAAAAUCUUCUGAAGAUGAUUCAGUGUCUCUAUUUUCCCACUUGUCUCAUUACUUUACUUUGGAAUUUCAUCAAUUGAGUUCCCUUGCCUGGAUAGAGAAUGGGUUGAUUGAGUAUUUAAAUUAUUUAGAACAUUUUUUAAUGUAUUUUGAUAUGCUGGCUCAUUAAUUUGUUUCUUGUUUGCCAUUAUUGGUUUUGGUUUUUUAUCUUUGUUAUCUUG
rnacentral:misc_RNA from 1 species